AGCAGCCGCGGUAAUUCCAGCUCCAAUAGCGUAUAUUAAAGUUGUUGCAGUUAAAAAGCUCGUAGUUGAAUUUCAGAAUCAAUGGAUCGGUCAUGCCAAUCGGUGUGUACUGGUUUGAUUGGUUCUCACCUUCUAAGGAACCGUGAUGUCAUUAAUUUGGUGUCGCGGGGAAUUAGGACUGUUACCUUGAAAAAAUUAGAGUGUUUAAAGCAGGCUCACGCUUGAAUACAUUAGCAUGGAAUAAUGAAAUAGGACAUUGUAUUCUAUUUUGUUGGUUUCUAGGAUCGAUGUAAUGAUUAAUAGGGAUAGUUGGGGGCAUUAGUAUUCAAUUGUCAGAGGUGAAAUUCUUGGAUUUAUUGAAGACUAACUACUGCGAAAGCAUUUGCCAAGGAUGUUUUCAUUAAUCAAGAACGAAAGUUAGGGGGUCGAAGACGAUCAGAUACCGUCGUAGUCUUAACCAUAAACUAUGCCGACUAGGGAUCGGAUGAUGUUAAUUUUUAAUGACUCU
rnacentral:rRNA from 1 species